rnacentral:rRNA from 1 species
GGAGCUGAUAUCAGGCACGCCCAAAACAUCUAGCCACGCCACACCCAUAAGGGUUUCCAGCAGUGAUUAACAUUGAGAAUAAACGUCAGUUUGACUCAGCCAAAAACUCAGAGCCGGCCAAUCUGGUGCCAGCCGCCGCGGUUACACCACGUGACUCUAAUUGAUUCGGCGUAAAGCGUGAUUAAAGUGGGGUCAAAAUUGAAUUAAGCUGUAGCACGAUUAUUUUUAAGAAGCCCCACCUCGAAAGAUACCCCAAUACACCUACUUGAACUCACAACAACUAGAAUACAAACUGGGAUUAGAUACCCCACUAUGUCUAGUCGUAAACUUUAAUUUACAUCGCCAGGGAACUACGAGCAAAGCUUAAAACCCAAAGGACUUGACGGUGCCCCACAUCCUUCUAGAGGAGCCUGUUCUAUAAUCGAUACUCCACGUUCAACCUCACCACUUUUAGCAGCCUGUAUACUUCCGCCGUCAGCUUACCGCAUGAGCGAGUAAACUUAAUGUCAAUACGUCAGGUCAAAGUGCAGCAUAUAAAAUGGUAAGAGAUGGGCUACACUUCCUAUUAUAGGAGAUACGAAAGACUAUGUGAAACAGAAGGCGGAUUUAGCAGUAAGACGGAUUAGAAUACCCAUCUUAAUCUGGCACUGGGGUGUGUACACACCGCCCGUCACCCUCUUC